rnacentral:rRNA from 1 species
CGAACGAGAAAGCCGGGGCAACCUGGUGAGUAAAGUGGCGUACGGGUGAGUAACACGUGGAUCAUCUGCCUUCUGGUGGGGAAUAACCCUGGGAAACCGGGGCUAAUACCGCAUAAGCCCGAGAGGGGAAAGCAGCAAUGCGCUGGAAGAGGAGUCCGCGGCCGAUUAGCUAGUUGGUGAGGUAAUGGCUCACCAAGGCAAAGAUCGGUAGCCGGCCUGAGAGGGCACACGGCCACACUGGCACUGAAACACGGGCCAGACUCCUACGGGAGGCAGCAGUGGGGAAUCUUGCACAAUGGGGGAAACCCUGAUGCAGCGACGCCGCGUGAGCGAUGAAGCCCUUCGGGGUGUAAAGCUCUUUCGGCAGGAACGAUUAUGACGGUACCUGCAGAAGAAGCUGCGGCUAACUACGUGCCAGCAGCCGCGGUAAUACGUAGGCAGCAAGCGUUGUUCGGAGUUACUGGGCGUAAAGAGUGUGUAGGCGGUUCUCUAAGUUCGGUGUGAAAUCUCCCGGCUUAACUGGGAGGGUGCGCCGAAAACUGGGGGGCUCGAGUAUGGGAGAGGAAAGCGGAAUUCCUGGUGUAGCGGUGAAAUGCGUAGAUAUCAGGAGGAACACCUGCGGUGUAGACGGCUUUCUGGACCAUCACUGACGCUGAGACACGAAAGCGUGGGGAGCAAACAGGAUUAGAUACCCUGGUAGUCCACGCCCUAAACGAUGCAUACUUGGUGUGAGCCAUUCAGUUGGUUCGUGCCGGAGCUAACGCGUUAAGUAUGCCGCCUGGGGAAUUACGGUCCCAAGGCUGAAACUCAAAGGAAUU